CGACGUGAGUAACCUGCCUCUAAGAGGGGAAUAACAUUCUGAAAAGAAUGCUAAUACCGCAUAACAUAUAUUUGUCGCAUGGUAGAUAUAUCAAAGAUUUAUCGCUUAGAGAUGGACUCGCGUCCGAUUAGUUAGUUGAUGAGGUAACGGCUCACCAAGACUGCGAUCGGUAGCCGGACUGAGAGGUUGAACGGCCACAUUGGGACUGAGACACGGCCCAG
rnacentral:rRNA from 1 species